UGUUCUCAUGACUGCAUAAUAGUGAAUGAUGCCAAGAGACCAAAUGCACAGACUUCCAUUGCAAGACCAAGAAGUGACAGAGCUUGGGGCAAGUGGUCAGGCCUACCUGGAAUUUGCCCACCAGUUACAUUUCAAGAGGCUUUGAUGGAAUUACAAACGAGACCAAGAGGCUAAAAUUCAAAGAGAUUAGCUGGUGAAGGGAGAGGAAAGUCCAACUGAAUGGAUCAGAAAGUAUCAAGAGGAUCAAUCUCAUGGGUGACAGCUUAUCAAAAGCAUUACUAUUUACCAGGGAACUCCAGAAGAAAGGCUUGGCUAGUGAUGUUAAAAUUGCCCCUGUCAUAUUUUGAACAUUUUCACCAUUCUGAGUAUUGUUGUAUCAUUCUUUAUUCUAGACGUUUGAAAAUGAUUUUCUAUUCCAUAUUUUCAUUAACAUUAAUCAUAACACAGAUAUAUGGGUGAUGCCUCUUCUCACUUCUCUGUAACUGCCAGGCACCAAACUAGACAAUUAUGUAUUCUUAUUAUUCCUCUUUAGCUAAUUAUUAAUGCAUAAAUCUGAACAAGUUGUGGAUUCACA